GUAUGAAUUUGGCCAAUCGGAAGCUUAGAUUUCAUUUUUUAAAUGACACCGUGCGCGCGCCACUCAACAGAAAAAUAUUUCAUGUAGAUAACCAACCCUACAAGCGUGUAGCGGAAGUUGCAGCACUAUUUUGUAUUUUUUUUGCCUCAAAACGUUAAAUAUGAGCAGUUUAAGACUGUUUAAGUGUUUUUUUUUUAAAUUUUGUAUUUAUUAGCAUCUUCAAAAAAUACGUUGUAAUGCAGAUAUACAGUGAAACCUUUUUAACCCGACCAUGUUUGAAUCUCUUGUACAGGAAUUUUUUUUAUUGUCCAGGAAAUGUACGUAUUUUUUUCACUUUAACACUGCGAUAAAAAGGAACUCCUAACAUUGACUUUGAGGCCUCUUUUAAAUAAAUUAUUAAACAAUUAAUAAUAAGUGUAUCAUGCGUUAUUUUUUAUUUAAUUUAAUUCCGAUUUGGAUAAUGAAUAAUGAUAUAAAAAUUUAAUAAUUUUACUCUUUAAAAUAAUAUCUUGAUUCUUCCAGAAGAUACUAAAAUAUCUGUUCUCAAAUAUUUGUAGACGCAAAUUUUUUUGUAAAGAAAAAAUGACAGAAGCGGCACUUAGAACUUUGCACCCCCAUAGCCGUAAGUCUAGAAACGGCCCUGCUUUUCUAACCGGAAAAUAGCUAUAUUGAGUCACUUGACACUCCGAACUCUGUGUACUUUAUUAUGUAUUUUUUAUCCAGACAACUCCUUGUAGUUAAGUUUAAAUUAUAGAGGUUUUACUGUAUUCUGUAUAGUUUUGAGACGUGAGGAUGCGAUAGCAUGAUUAAAAAAUCUUUUUUGCUUUAAUUUACGUCAACAGAGUGGGUGUCAGUAGUUCACGGUCAUGAAUUUGUGGUGAUCGAAUAAAACAUCGAAAAAUUUCUACAAUUUUAUUACAUUUACAAUAGUCAAAACUUACAGUUAUAACGCAAUAUCACGUAAAAUGAGAUGUACACAUUCCACCCUGAUGUAUGUAAUGCGCAAUGAAGAGAAAUCUAAUAAAUAAAUGUUUAUGAUU